UCCGAGUUGACCCCGGCAGUCUCCGAUGAGUCCCCGCCAUAACGCGCUGGCAACAUCGAAUAAGGGUUGCGUUCGUUGCGGGACUUAACCCAACAUCUCACGACACGAGCUGACGAUAGCCAUGUACCACCUGUCACCGGCCCCGAAGGACCCCGCAUCUCUGCGAGAUUUCCGGCGAUGUCAAACCCAGGUAAGGUUCUUCGCGUUGCAUCGAAUUAAGCAACAUGCUCCGCCGCUUGUGCGGGCCCCCGUCAAUUUCUUUGAGUUUUAACCUUGCGGCCGUACUCCCCAGGCGGAUGACUUAACGCGUUAGCUGCGCCACCGAAACUCCAUGAGCCCCGACAGCUAGUCAUCAUCGUUUACGGCGUGGACUAC
rnacentral:misc_RNA from 1 species